rnacentral:rRNA from 1 species
UACGGAGGAUCCGAGCGUUAUCCGGAUUUAUUGGGUUUAAAGGGUGCGUAGGCGGCCUUGUAAGUCAGGGGUGAAAGACGGUAGCUUAACUAUCGCAGUGCCUUUGAUACUGCAGGGCUUGAAUGUACUUGAGGUAGGCGGAAUGUGACAAGUAGCGGUAAAAUGCAUAGAUAUGUCACAGAACACCAAUUGCGAAGGCAGCUUACUAAAGUAUGAUUGACGCUGAGGCACGAAAGCGUGGGGAUCAAACAGG